GAUGAACGCUGGCGGCGUGCCUAAUACAUGCAAGUCGAGCGAACGGACGAGAAGCUUGCUUCUCUGAUGUUAGCGGCGGACGGGUGAGUAACAUGUGGAUAACCUACCUAUAAGACUGGGAUAACUUCGGGAAACCGGAGCUAAUACCGGAUAAUAUAUUGAACCGCAUGGUUCAAUAGUGAAAGACGGUUUUGCUGUCACUUAUAGAUGGAUCCGCGCCGCAUUAGCUAGUUGGUAAGGUAACGGCUUACCAAGGCAACGAUGCGUAGCCGACCUGAGAGGGUGAUCGGCCACACUGGAACUGAGACACGAUCCAGACUCCUACGGGAGGCAGCAGUAGGGAAUCUUCCGCAAUGGGCGAAAGCCUGACGGAGCAACGCCGCGUGAGUGAUGAAGGUCUUCGGAUCGUAAAACUCUGUUAUUAGGGAAGAACAAAUGUGUAAGUAACUAUGCGCGUCUUGACGGUACCUAAUCAGAAAGCCACGGCUAACUACGUG
rnacentral:rRNA from 1 species